rnacentral:rRNA from 1 species
CAGGGAAUAUUGGGCAAUGGAGGGAACUCUGACCCAGCCAUGCCGCGUGCAGGAUGAAGGCGUUAUGCGUUGUAAACUGCUUUUUAUAUAGGAAGAAAUAGUCCUUGCGAGGAAAGUUGACGGUACUAUAUGAAUAAGCACCGGCUAACUCCGUGCCAGCAGCCGCGGUAAUACGGAGGGUGCAAGCGUUGUCCGGAUUUAUUGGGUUUAAAGGGUGCGUAGGCGGUUUAUUAAGUCAGUGGUGAAAGACGGUCGCUCAACGAUUGCAGUGCCAUUGAUACUGGUAGACUUGAGUAUGAUUGAGGUAGCUGGAAUGGAUAGUGUAGCGGUGAAAUGCAUAGAUAUUAUCCAGAACACCAAUUGCGUAGGCAAGUUACUAAGUCAUAACUGACGCUGAGGCACGAAAGUGUGGGUAUCAAACAGGAUUAGAUACCCGAGUAGUCCCUGAGCGGGCUGGCAAGGCGCAU